rnacentral:rRNA from 1 species
AAGAGUUUGAUCAUGGCUCAGAACGAACGCUGGCAGCGUGGAUUAGGCAUGCAAGUCGAACGAUCACAUUCUGUAGCAAUACGGGAUGUGGGAGUGGCGGAAGGGCGAGGAACGCAUGGGCAAUCUGUCCCGAGGGUGGGGAUAACGCCGCGAAAGUGGCGCUAAUACCGAAUGUGGCGCGGGGUCCGCAUGGACCUUUCGCCAAAGGCGGGGACCGCAAGGCCUGCCCCCUGGGGAGGAGCCCGUGUGCCAUCAGCUUGUUGGCGGGGUAACGGCCCACCAAGGCUUACGGCUAGCUGGUCUGAGAGGACGACCAGCCGCACUGGGACUGAGACACUGCCCAGACUCCUACGGGAGGCUGCAGUCGAGGAUCAUUCGCAAUGGGCGAAAGCCUGACGAUGCGACGCUGCGUGGAGGAUGACGGCCUUCGGGUUGUAAACUCCUGUCAUGAGGGAAAAACGGACCUGCGACAACAUCAAGGGAACGAGAUGGUACCUCAAGAGGAAGCCACGGCUAACUCUGUGCCAGCAGCCGCGGUAAUACAGAGGUGGCGAGCGUUGUUCGGAUUUACUGGGCGUAAAGGGCGCGUAGGCGGCCGCGUGUGUGGGGUGUGAAAUCUCCGGGCUCAACCCGGAAAGUGCGCCCCAAACUGCGCGGCUCGAGUGCGGGAGGGGAGAUCGGAAUGCAGGGGUGUAGCGGUGAAAUGCGUUGAUAUCCUGCAGAACACCGGUGGCGAAGGCGGAUCUCUGGAACGCAACUGACGCUGAGGCGCGAAAGUCGGGGGAGCAAACAGGAUUAGAUACCCUGGUAGUCCCGACCCUAAACGGUGCACACUUGGGGUGGGGGGAUUUCACCCCCCCCGUCCCGUAGCUAACGCGUUAAGUGUGCCGCCUGGGGAGUACGGCCGCAAGGUUAAAACUCAAAGAAAUUGACGGGGGCCCGCACAAGCAGAGGAGCAUGUGGCUUAAUUCGAUGCAACGCGAAGAACCUUACCCGGGUUUGACAUGCAGCUGCACGGUCUAUGAAAGUAGGCCUCCUUCGAGGGUGCUGCACAGGUGCUGCAUGGCUGUCGUCAGUUCGUGCCGUGGGGUGUUUGGUUAAGUCCAGCAACGAACGCAACCCCUGUGUCCAGUUGCCAGCGCGUAAUGGCGGGAACUCUGGACAGACUGCCCGUUCACACGGGAGGAAGGUGGGGAUGACGUCAAGUCAGUAUGGCCCUUACAUCCGGGGCUGCACACGUGCUACAAUGGCCGGUACAAAGGGAAGCUAAGCCGCGAGGCCGUGCCAAUCCCCAAAACCGGCCCCAGUUCAGAUUGGGGUCUGCAACCCGACCCCAUGAAGUCGGAUUUGCUAGUAACGGCGCAUCACCUACGGCGCCGUGAAUACGUUCCCGGGCCUUGUACACACCGCCCGUCACAUCAUGAAAGCCGUCUGCACCCGAUACCGGCGCACCAACCCGCAAGGGAGGGAGCCGUCUAAGGUGUGGGUGGUGAUUGGGAUGAAGUCGUAACAAGGUAACCGUA